rnacentral:misc_RNA from 1 species
GAAUGAACGAGUUCCAAGCAGAAAUUGCGGUCCUUACCAAAGUCAGACAUAGGCACUUGGUUGCUCUACUUGGUUCAUGUGUUAAUGGAAAUGAGAGACUUUUGGUGUAUGAGUAUAUGCCGCAAGGAACUUUGAGUCAGCAUUUGUUUGAAUGGCAAGAAUUAGGCUACAAACCUCUUACUUGGAAGCAAAGGGUAACGAUAGCAUUGGAUGUGGCAAGAGGGGUUGAAUACCUUCAUAGCUUGGCACAACAAAGUUUCAUUCAUAGAGAUUUAAAACCGUCAAACAUCCUUCUCGGAGACGACAUGAGAGCCAAGGUUGCAGAUUUU